CAUAGCCUACUAUUUAACUUAGGUACAACCCUGCCCUCUGACUUUUAACAGCCGCGGUAUCCUAACCGUGCUAAGGUAGCAUAAUCACUUGCCUAUUAAUUAUAGGCUAGAAUGAACGGGAUCACUCACUUAAACUUAUUUUUAUUUAAAUUUAAAUUAAACUUUAAGUCAAAAUACUAAAUUAAAAAGAAAGACAAAAAGACCCUGAAAACUAUUAGAAAUAAUUAGUUGGGGCAACUAUAGACCACUCUAGCGUCUAUUUUUUUUUAAACUCUUAAAAUCUAAAGUAUCCAGUUACUUCAGGGAUAACAGACUAAUUUUAUUAUUUAGACCCAAUAAAUAAUAAAGAUUGGCACCUCGAUGUUGGCUUAUAUUUCCUUCAUAUAGCAACAUAUAUAGAAGGCAGCUUGUUCAUCUGUUAAAUAUUUACAUGAGCUGAGU
rnacentral:rRNA from 1 species